rnacentral:rRNA from 1 species
GACGAACGCUGGCGGCGUGCUUAACACAUGCAAGUCGAACGGUAAGGCCCUUCGGGGUACACGAGUGGCGAACGGGUGAGUAACACGUGGGUGAUCUGCCCUGCACUUCGGGAUAAGCCUGGGAAACUGGGUCUAAUACCGGAUAGGACCACUGCCUGCAUGGGUGGUGGUGGAAAGCUUUUGCGGUGUGGGAUGGGCCCGCGGCCUAUCAGCUUGUUGGUGGGGUGAUGGCCUACCAAGGCGACGACGGGUAGCCGGCCUGAGAGGGUGACCGGCCACACUGGGACUGAGAUACGGCCCAGACUCCUGCGGGAGGCAGCAGUGGGGAAUAUUGCACAAUGGGCGCAAGCCUGAUGCAGCGACGCCGCGUGAGGGAUAACGGCCUUCGGGUUGUAAACCUCUUUCAGCACCGACGAAGCGCAAGUGACGGUAGGUGCAGAAGAAGGACCGGCCAACUACGUGCCAGCCGCCGCGGUAA